rnacentral:rRNA from 1 species
CCUACGGGGGGCAGCAGUAGGGAAUAUUGCUCAAUGGGGGAAACUCUGAAGCAGCAACGCCGCGUGGAGGAUGAAGGUUUUCGGAUUGUAAACCCCUUUUGUUAGAGAAGAUAAUGACGGUAUCUAACGAAUAAGCACCGGCUAACUCCGUGCCAGCAGCCGCGGUAAUACGGAGGGUGCAAGCGUUACUCGGAUUGACUGGGCGUAAAGGGCGCGUAGGCGGGAUAGCAAGUCAGAUGUGAAAUCCUAAGGCUUAACCAUGGAACUGCAUUUGAAACUGUUAUGCUAGAGUAUGGGAGAGGUAGGUGGAAUUCUUGGUGUAGGGGUAAAAUCCGUAGAGAUCAAGAGGAAUACUCAUGGCGAAGGCGACCUACUAGAACAUAACUGACGCUGAUGCGCGAAAGCGUGGGGAGCAAACAGGAUUAGAUACCCGUGUAGUC